GUCACGCUGUGACUAGCAUAUCAAUAAGCGGAGGAAAAGAAACUAACAAGGAUUCCCUCAGUAACGGCGAGUGAAGCGGGAAGAGCUCAAAUUUGAAAUCCUUAAAGGUCUACCUUGCACGAAUUGUAGUUUCAAAGGAAGUGUUUUCUGUGACGAUCUGGUAUAUAAGUUCUUUGGAAUAGGACAUCACAGAGGGUGAGAAUCCCGUCUAUGAUUGCAUAUUUGUAGCUUUGUGAUACACUUUCAAAGAGUCGGGAUUGUUUGGGAAUGCAGUCCCAAAACGGGAGGUAAAUUUCUUCUAAGGCUAAAUAUUGGCGAGAGACCGAUAGCGAACAAGUACCGUGAGGGAAAGAUCGAAAAGAACUUUGGAAAGAGAGUUAAAUAGUACGUGAAAUUGUCAAAAGGGAAGCGUUUAACACCAGUGUUGUUUUCUGAAAAUCAACCUCUGUUAGCUUUAUGCAUGUUUGUUUAGACCUAAUCAGCUAUCUUUCAUGUUCUAUUGUUUGCAGUGGUGCACUUUUCAGUUUACAGGUCAACAUCAGUUUUUUUUACCGUAAAAAAGUUAAAGAAAGGUAGCUCAUGGCUCCGGUCGUGAGUGUUAUAGUCUUUUUCCUAUGCGGUAGGAGAGACUGAGGUCUGCAGUGUAGGCUAUUUGGCUAGAUACUCAGGUGCUAUGUGAUACCAUUUCAUAAACAACUUGUUGAUUAUGUUUUGUCUAUUGCAUACUCGCUUGUACUAUCAUACCUACGCUUAGGAUGUUGAGUAGCGACAUACGCAC
rnacentral:rRNA from 1 species